rnacentral:lncRNA from 1 species
AAGAAAUCCAUGAAAGAAGUCCAUAACAAUCCAUAGAAAUCUAUAAUCGAAAUUCAUAGAAAUCUUCCAAAAUUCGUAUAGAAAUGUAGAAUUUAUUAAUAUCCUUUGAAAUCUGUCACUUAAAAAAAGUCUGUUAAAAUCCUCUGAAAUCCAAAUUGACUACACCCUCAGAUAAACUAAUUUUUAUUAUACAAUAUAUUUCGAUAUACUUUGUCAUCUUCAUUUAGGUACAUUAAAUUAUUUAAUAUAUUUUAGUAUAUUUAUUUCGAUAUACAUAUUUAGAUACAUUAAUUCAAUAUAAUACAUCUUGGUGCAUACGUUCCGGUUUUAACAUUUAGGUACCUUAAUUUAAUAUAAU